rnacentral:rRNA from 1 species
UGGGGAAUUUUGCACAAUGGGGGAAACCCUGAUGCAGCGACGCCGCGUGAUUUAGAAGGCCUUCGGGUUGUAAAAAUCUUUUUUACGGGAUGAAAAUGACAGUACCGUAAGAAUAAGGUCCGGCUAAAUACGUGCCAGCAGCCGCGGUAAUACGUAUGGACCGAGCGUUGUCCGGAAUCAUUGGGCGUAAAGGGUACGUAGGCGGCCUAGUAAGUUAGAAGUGAAAUAAUAUAGCUCAACUAUAUAAAGCUUUUAAAACUGCUAGGCUUGGGAGAUGGAAGGGAGAGUGGAAUUCCUAGUGUAGCGGUGAAAUGCGAAGAUAUUAGGAAGAAUACCGGUGGCGAAGGCGACUUUCUGGUCAUCAUCUGACGCUGAGGUACGAAAGCGUGGGUAGCAAACAGG